AAAAAAAAAAAAAGAAAAAAAAGGGCUAGAGAAAAAAGCAAGAAAAACCAGAGAGAGAGAAUAGCAAGAUCGAGUGAGAUUCAAGGGGAGUGAAAGCAAGGAAAAGCAAGAAAAUUGCAGGGGAAAUACACUGCAGUUCAUCAGUCCAGACUGUUUUUUUGGGGUUUUGGGUCAAAAAUUUGAUUGCCAAAACAUUGUCUAUUCAGGGAUUCUUUGAAAUCUGGGGUAUAUAGAGAUAGUGUAUUACCACUUUCCUUAAAGGAUUCACUCAAGAAAACAUCUGCGAGGUCUCCAAAUUCGGCUGCAAAAUCGGAAGCUCGAGAGUUCCGGUACUUUCUGGGUCUGCUCAAAGAAAUUUUUCCUCUAGUUCGUUCGAUUGUUGGAGGAUCCUGCAAGUCCAGAUCAAAUUGUGACGCAACAGUAAACUCUUUUCUCUCUUAAUUAGGGUACCAGCAUGCGUAAAUCCUUAGUUUUUCUUUCAUCAUGCCACUGUUGGAUUCUGAGUGGUGUUUUCUUGCUGCUUGCUAUUUCAUCACUUGACUCCCUUGCGUUGUGGUCGAGUUUGACUAUCGACAAGGUCUGGAAGCUAGCUGAUUGGCCUGAUAAGUUCAGGUCAUGGUGAAAUAAGUUGCAUUUUGCUUAAACUUUGAAAAUCU
rnacentral:lncRNA from 1 species